rnacentral:rRNA from 1 species
CCUACGGGAGGCAGCAGUGAGGAAUAUUGGUCAAUGGACGAGAGUCUGAACCAGCCAAGUAGCGUGAAGGAUGACUGCCCUAUGGGUUGUAAACUUCUUUUAUAUGGGAAUAAAAUGUUCCACGUGUGGGAAUUAGUAUGUACCAUAUGAAUAAGGAUCGGCUAACUCCGUGCCAGCAGCCGCGGUAAUACGGAGGAUCCGAGCGUUAUCCGGAUUUAUUGGGUUUAAAGGGAGCGUAGGUGGAUUGUUAAGUCAGCGUUAAAAUCGCGGGGCUCAACCGCGCUCCGCCGUUGAAACUGGGUUUCUUGAGUGGGCGAGAAGUAUGCGGAAUGCGUGGUGUAGCGGUGAAAUGCAUAGAUAUCACGCAGAACUCCGAUUGCGAAGGCAGCAUACCGGCGCCCAACUGACGCUGAAGCACGAAAGCGUGGGUAUCGAACAGGAUUAGAUACCCUUGUAGUC